GGGGGCGUAGCUCAGUUGGCUAGAGCGCCUGAAUGGCAUUCAGGAGGUCGUGGGUUCGAUUCCCGUCGCCUCCACUA
rnacentral:tRNA from 2 species